UACUGGUAAGUAAUGAAUUAUACUACUCUCCCUCCGCGGAGCCUUUUUUGCCCAUGAUGAUAAUUGGUCUCCCCAUCCUUAUCUCAGUCCUUGAGCCCUUUUCCAUUGUAUUUCUCCCCCUUUUUCCUUGAGGAGGGGGAGUGAGAGAGCAGUUGUGGUGGAGUUCAGCUGACCAGUUGGGUAAAACGACCGCAGACUGGAAGUCUUGGAACUGUGUUCUGACUUGAUCUUUUCUGAGAUUUUUAAGACAGGAAAAAGAUGACUGAUACCAGACUGCCGAGUGCAAAUCCAGGUCACUGACAGCUCAAAGGAUACAAGGACGGACUGCCUGUCUGCUAUCCCAUGGAGCCGUGUUCAUCUGAAAGCAACUGUCUUCCAGUGGCAAUGGAGGAGAAAUCCAGCCCAUGCAGUUUCACAUAUUGUCUGCAGAGUCAUCACCCUGGCAAAGUCAGACUGGAUAACGGAUUUAGCUAUCUCGUGGUGUUCAGCGUGUCAUACAACAGAUGGAGAUUUCUCAGAAAUUUCUGGCACAGUUUCAGAACAGGAAAUAUCUGCAUGAAAGGCAAUGGAUACGUUAAGAAGUUAAAAGGUUUCCUAAGCAGUGUGCUCUAACAGAUCUUGUUCUUAAUCAGGCAAGAGGCAGAAAAGGAUGCGGCAUGCUGAGAACAUACUGUUGCCACUCCUGACUCGAUAAGUUAGCCUACCUCUGAAGUUCCUCCUAACUUGUGGGUCAUAGCUUGUGCAUGAAGAUGCGUAUUUCUCUGAUUCAACUCCUUCAGAAAGAAAGUGCACAAAAAGUCCGGCUUUUCUUUGAGUAUACUGGAGCACAGCAGGAUAAAAGAGUGUUUGCUCACUGUUUGUAAGCUUCUUUCCCAAAAGUAUUUUGCCUGAAAAUAUACUCUUUGCCUUUCUCUCUCUUC